CUUAGAACCCACAGCUGAGUAAAAACCCCCACUGAAGUGGUGCAUGGACCAGACAUAAACAAAGACUUUACAAGCUGGAAUCUAUACUGCCCAGGCUUGACUCAAACAUCAUGGACUCAAGCCACCCUGCCAGCUCAAAAGUCCAGCCAACCCACAAUCCUGCCAGAUUAGAACAACCAUCCUCAGCUCCACUCCAACCUAGAGCUGCAGUGGCACCAUACUGUUCCUGGACACAGGCUAUGGAAAUAAAAAGACACAAAGGCACAGCUUGAAUGUCUCAUCCAAGUAAUCAAAGUACCGGAAGAAGGAGAGAAGACAGAAGGAAUGAUUGCAAAACAAAGACUGAGCUGUACAUUUUGGGAGCAUUAAGAAAGCACUCCUUCUGACUAAGCUGAGAAGACAAACACCCAAAGGACUGCACAUUCUCUGAAGAUGACAGUACUCACAGUCCCCACCUGAGGUUCAACAAGAAAGCUUAGCACAAAUGAGACUUGCAUUAUUUAUAAUAAAGAGAAAAUAUAGCCUAACAUCCAGAUUCUAUUGAUUAAUGAGCAAAAAGCUACAGCCUAAUUCCAACCAGGCCCAUGUAACAAGGAAUAAAACUUAUUUUCUUUGGGUCCUUAAAGGUAGGGGAAGGAGAGAUGGGGAGAAGCUGAUAAAUGGGUGCUGAACUACAGUUAGGAAUAAGAGGCAUGGUGACUGGACAUAAUGAUGACAUAAUAUACUACGUAUUUCCAAAAGCUAGAGAGUUUGAUCCUGCUUUCCAUAAAAAAAUGAUAAAUGUUAGCCGGGCGUUGGUGGCGCACGCCUUUAAUCCCAGCACUCGGGAGGCAGAG